GUGCUUGCCCUGGCAGCACAUUUAUAUACUAAUAUUGGAACGAUACGGAGAAGAUGAGCAUGGCCCCUGCGCAAGGAUGACACACAAAUUCAUGGAGCUUUCCAUAUUUAA